AGCGAACGCCGGCGGCAGGCCUAACACAUGCAAGUCGAGCGCCCGUAGCAAUACGGGAGCGGCAGACGGGAGAGUAGCACGUGGGAACGUGCCCUUCAGUUCGGAACAACCCAGGGAAACUUGGGCUAAUACCGGAUACGUCCGUAAGGAGAAAGAUUUAUCGCUGAAGGAUCGGCCCGCGUCUGAUUAGCUUGUUGGUGAGGUAACGGCUCACCAAGGCGACGAUCAGUAGCUGGUCUGAGAGGAUGAUCAGCCUCACUGGGACUGAGACACGGCCCAGACUCCUACGGGAGGCAGCAGUGGGGAAUAUUGGACAAUGGGCGCAAGCCUGAUCCAGCCAUGCCGCGUGGGUGAUGAAGGCCCUAGGGUUGUAAAGCCCUUUCGGCGGGGAAGAUAAUGACGGUACCCGCAGAAGAAGCCCCGGCUAACUUCGUGCCAGCCGCCGCGGUAACAC
rnacentral:rRNA from 1 species